CGAUGCCUUACUGAUGUAUAUCCUCUGUCUGCCUAUAUUGUUGCAGGAAAGCAAAUGGUGAUAUUGAAGCGCCACAUCUGUCUCCAACAUAACUCUUCUUAGAAAUGGAGCAAACUGUGAGAUUCCGGGUCCUCAUCGAUCAUGAAAUCAAGAAACUCACUCUCAGCAGUGGCAUGCCCUCAACUGUGAAUGAGUUGGUUGCAGCUGUCAAAGAACAUUUUUCCAUCCCCACAGAUAUAAGUCUUCAAUACAAAGAUGAGGAAUUUGAUGACUUCUUCACACUAACAUCUACCAAUGAGCUGAAAGAUAAGUGCACACUUAAAGUUGUGUAUACACCGCUGGAGUUGACGCUGACCGUUGUUCCCCAGGAAAGCACCCCAGAUGCCUCUGAUGUCAGCUUUCUCUGUGAGUGUACGAGUCUCAGUGGGAACUCAGUGGAUACCGUCAUUCCGAGUCCAUCCCCCUCUGAAAGGCAGAGCCCAUGGCUUGCUGUGUUUCCAAUUCCAACCUUCUCACACAACACUGAACUGGCCUUAAGACAAGGAAACGAGAUUUAUUUAAGAGAUGGCACCCCUAUGACAUCACCAAGUAUCAAAUCAGACAUCCUGGAGCGCCUGGCAGAGGCCAUGUUUUUCUACACAGCUUACCCCAAUGAUGCCCAGAGAUGUGCAGUGGCAGAGGCACUAGUUGCAAAGCAUCCCUGCUUAAAGGAGCCCGGAUCUUUUAAUGGAAUUUAUGGGUGGCAGGUAAGCCUAAAGUAUAAGUGUGGAAACUACCGGACAAAACGGAAAGCACUUGGAAGCACUGAACUCCUGAUAAACUCACUGAGAAACAAGUCAAGUGAUGAGCGAAAAGCUGCUAAAAAUGUCAAGAAACCAAAGAGGACAGAGGUGAAUUACUUGCCCUCACACCCACAUGGUGAAACAGAUGACACCCUUGAGAAUCUGAGACUUGACCUAAUUGCUGCCCAUCAGACAAAGGACUCUGUCAGGAGCACAAAUGAUAUGAUGGCCAGAACAUACAGCUGGAGAAGACAGGAAGUUAUUACCAAGUCUCCUGGUGUGGCAGAAUUCAAGGACCAUUCCAGGUAAGUGACUUAUCAUUCAGAUUUUGCUGACACUACUCACUUCUGAGAACUUUUUAGAAAUUGUGACUUGGACAUGAGAUAGUAGAUUAAUCUUUAAAACCCCUUAAAUAAGUCAAACAUUUGCUGUCUUACAGGUAAACGAGGAGUUCCGAAGAUGUACUGCAGUUUCCCUGGAAGCGACGUUUAUGUCACAGCUGGACAAAUGCACCCCAAAGCUCCUAGAACUCUUUAGUGCCAAGGGAGGAGCAACUGGUCAACGCAUCAAAAAGUUGUUGAUGGAUCUGAUACAGGACCCAAGUGCCACUACAGUGAAGAAGAGAGAUGUCACUCUGAGAUGCCUCUUUGAGUAUAUGGGAGAGAGUGGACAGGAGCUUAUCUCGGAUUACUGUGGGGCCGCAGAGACCAUUGUUCAUGAGGACCUGAAAAUUAAGAACAUGAGCAUCUAUGUCUGCCGUGAGCCAGAUGCAGUAGCAAUCAUCAUUGAGGGAAUACCAGUCCUUACCAAUCUUGGAAACGUGGCCAAAGCAUGCUGCUUCCUGGUUGGGUUGACAUAUGCACUUAAUCUCGAGUAUCCAUCCAAGCUUUCCAAAACAUUUGAGGUGUUUCAAAGACUUUUCGUGGGACUUGACACACUGCGCCCAAAACCAAGCCCCAAGUUCAUGACCCUGAAAAACAAACUCCUUGCCUAGGCACUCAGACAUGACUGUCACUGCACUUGUGAACAGCUGUUUUCUUUGUCUGUUCAACAUCAUUAUACAUUGGACAUAAUGGGUGUUAUGUCCAAUGUUAUAUUGGACAUAAUUGGACAUUCAGGGUGUUGUAAUGGUUUAUCCUUGUCAUGUUUUAUACUGUGCACAGGUCAUACUUCCUGGUGUGAAAAAGUAAUUAUAUUUUAUACACACAAAAUAGACCUGCUGUGAAGCUGCACUUUAAAAACUGGUCAGUAGGUGAGAUCAGUGAGAUGUUUGACUAAAGAUGUUUCAAAAUAUUCACACACGCUGUGAAGGUAUUAUGCCAAGUUGAGGUCAGAUGGUCAUGCUUGUGACCUGUAAUGUUAGUGUUUAAAAUGUUUCAAUAUUAUGUUCACACUGUACUGUUAAAAGGAUAGUUCACUUCAAAAUGAAAAUUCUGUCCUCAUUUACUCACCCUCAAGUUGUUUUAAACCUGUAUGAAUUUCUUUCCUCUACAGGACACAAGGAAGAUGUUUGAAGAAUGUCAGUAACCGAACAGUUAACUGGACCCAUUGACUUCCAUAUUAGAAAAAAAUAAAAAGACUAUGGAAGAACAUCCUUCAAAAUAUCUUCCUUGUGUUCAGCAGAAGAAAGAAAUUCAUACAGGUUUAAAACAACUUGAGGGUGAGUAAAUGACAGAAUUUUCAUUUUGAAGUGAACUAUCCUUUUACGGUGUUUUACUAACCUACUAUUUACAAGCUGAGGUCAUAUUUUGUUUAAUACAUGAAUACAGAAGUUCUUGAUUGUUUAUACUGUCCAGCUCAUUCCCACUAUUUGGAUAUGGCAUGUGAAUUGUUAAAAAAAUAGCAAGUGCCAGUUAACUUGAUAUUAAAAUGUUUUAAUAUUAUGUAUGUACACACAGUAAAAUAUACUUUGAAGGUGUUCUUCUAACCUGCACUUUAUAAGUUGAGGUCAUGCUUUUUUUAAUGCAUGAAUAGAUGUUAUUGAUUGUUAACACUAUCCAGCUCAUUUUGAAUUUGGUUUGUAAAUUGUUACUUAAUUUUAAAAUUUUGUAACAUUAUGUACACAGAACUACUGUGAAGGUGUUCCACUAACCUGCACUUUAUUUGCUGAGGGCAUGUUUUCUUGAAUGCCUGAAUACCAAUGUUUAUACUGUCCAGCUCAUUGCUACUGUUUUGGAUAUGGCAAUGAUUUAAUAAAUGUUGGAAAUUGA